GGCACAGCCCGCCUUCCGCGAGGAAACGAAAACGCGCUUUCGAAAUGCGUGGAAGCGGCGGGUUUUACCUUCCUUCCUUUCAAUGUUUCAAACUUUCCUCGGUUCGGAAGUUGCAAGAUUCCUGAGAAGGGGAAGGAAAGUAGUUUACUACACGAACUGAGGGUCUUGAAAGUUUAAAGGAAAGCACACUUAGUGGAAGAAGAAAGGAAGACACGGAAAAUCGGUUUUAAAUCUCCGAAUCUUUCGGGAAAAUGGAGGCAGUGUUUUGGAAAAGGAAGGCAAGGCAAAGGUUGGCAUACAUGUCAAGAGAAUGUUCUCCAGCUGGGGCCUGCAGUACAGAGAAUUGUAUAUACCAGAGGGCUCAUGGGACUCUAGGCAGAUUAUUAUGGUAAUAUUGGAGGCUGUUGUCCUCUCCCUCCCACAGCUGGGCCGCCUCCUCAUUUGUCUACAUGUGAUGCCUGAAACUGCAUUGGCCAUGAGCGCAACCCCGAGGGCAAAAGCCCAUGUUGGUGUUGAUGGCAGAGGGGAAGAUGGGAAGAAUCUGUGUCUUUGAUCCCGGAGAUGUUACUGACAUCCUACUGACAUCUUACCUGGGAGCCCGACUUCUUAUUACGUGAAAGUAUUUAAACUCAGGUAUAAAACAGAAAAGAGUGAAAAUGUACCUGAGCCUGAUAAAAAGUUGUAAUAAAGACCAAGAAUAUUGCUGUAAUGAGAUAAAAGGAGCAAUACCAGCAUUUUCAAGAAAAGACUAUAUUUGGUUAAAUUUGAACACACAUGAGACUUUCUACUUACACUUGAUACCCAUAGUUCUGUGGGGAGGCAAACAGCAGAGGCUCCAGACUGUGAAGACAAGACAAGAGCCAGAGGCCUGGGAGACUGAGCUGCGAAGAAGCCACCUAAGGGCUGCGGCAAGAGUCAACCAACGCGGAACCACCAAGGCCAUUGACGAAGACUCCCUUUUCAUGUGUACUUCAUGAAAUCGCAGAGAGCGACUGAAAACUUUUCAGAAUUAUUAUGAAAUCCAAUUAGAAAGUAAUUGGCCAUUGAUCACCAACUAUGGCAGGGUGCUGCAUAUACCAAAGGCUGAGCUGAAAAGAGCAGUUUGGGGAACAGAAAGUGAAUUUGCAUGGCUGAGGGAACAGUAAGGUUAAACAGUGUAAGAUGAGGUGAAGAAGAGCCAGAUCAAAAGGGCCUCGAAAGCCAUUUUACAGGAGGGUAAUUGGCAACCACUGAAGGCUUAAGCAGAGGAAUAACAACAUCAGAUUUGUGUUUUGAAAAGAUGACUGGCAGCAGUGUGAGACUGAAAAGGAGGGGUGAGUCUAGAGGCAGCCAGAAGGAAAUUUCAAAAAAUAAUAAUUCAGACAACAAGGUCAAUGGCUUGAACCAGGUUGCCGGUUUUGGGAAUGGAGAGAAUUGAACAGGUUGCAGAGACACCUGCAACUUGAUGGUUGAUGGAAUGUGGGGGAAGAAUUUGAGAGAUGGGUCAAAAACAAUGCCUUGAUGUUUUCCUUGGGUAACCAGGUAAAAGCUGGUGCUGUUUCCUGGGAUGGGGCAGCAAGAGAAGCAGACUUGGGGGAGAGAAAGAUGGGGAAUAAUGUGAGACACGUUCACAUUGGGGACAUCCACAUGGAGGUGCCCAGGAAUCCAAACAUAUGGGCUUGGAGCUCACUGAUGGAGAGAUUUUGGCUGGCAGCGAAUAUGCAAAAGCUAUAGAAUUUGAAACACUUUAAUGCAGGCUGCGCUGUUAUCAUAUAUAUGCUUGCCUUUCUCAUUUUAUUGCUCUUAAGAAGCUGCACAGGAAGCAUUCACAAUUCUCGUUUCUGUCCCUGAAACAGUUGGAUCUGCAUUAACUUGGAGUAUUGAUUGGCAUGUUUGAUUUGUAGUGUCUGCCUCCUAUCUGGAACUUUUAAAGCAGAUCAGAAAUGUGUAAAGAUGUUUGGAACAUGUGGAAAUUGACAUCUGAGACUGAAAUUUAACCUGUUGUGUAAUAGUCUUUUAACUAGCAACUGGUCUUUAUGGUGUUGGUAUUUUGCUUGUUAUUGAAAGGCUAUUUUUAGGGACUCAGAAUUUCUCAUAUUUUUUUUUCCUUUAGUUGAGAAAUAUGUUGCUCAUGGCCAGAAACUGUAUAAUUGAAUUCACAGAAAUAAUUUGGUGAUGAAAUUAAUAAAGAAUCUUAAUGUUCUCUAGGCAAUUGUAUGCUGCCAAUGUGCUAAAUCUUUGUUAACUUAUUAGAUUAUUGUUUUAUGAAUCUUCUACAGGACUAUAUCCAAAUUGAAUGUUUUGCCAAUAUUAAUCCCCUACUGGUGGUUCUAACAAAGAGUUCUCUUUCAGGGACAGGUCUUUUUCCUAGGGGAAGUAAAUAGAGUCAGUGAUUUACUGAUAAAGCCACCCAGUAUAUACAUCAUCUCUGUCCCAUAUAUCAAUGUCACUGGCAACAGCUUGCUUUACUAAGUGAUUCUGCAGUGUCUUCUCGAAGACUACUUUGUUUAGUAAUCAGAUCAAAGUGCCAACAUGAAUACUUUUUAGCAUAGCGUAAAUUGUUUGUAUCUUUAAUAGCACAAUUAGUUCUGAGACAUUUUUAUGGAAUGGUUUCCACUGCUGAAAAUUUAUCCCACCGUAUUGGUCUAUGUACAAAAAUGUUACUUUAUGUAUCACUCAUGUGCACUUGAGCACAGAUUAUUUGUUACACCCUUCAUACUUAAAACUGAAAUUGUAUUCUUGUUACCAAUUAGGACAAUUCACGUAUUUGCAGCUCUUCCUAACUGACCAGUUUUUAAUUUGGUGUUAAUUAUCUAAAUGAUUUGGGAGACAGGACUGCCUUUCUGUUUUGUGCUAUUAAAUGGCAUUAAAUAUUUCCUCCAAACCCUUGAAAAUGGAUUGUGAAACUAAUGAGUGAUAGCUUUGUGAAAAUUUACAUGGUGGUGAAUAGAAAACUGUAAAGGAAAGCGUCCUCUUUGAUGAUGACUGACAGCUAAUGAUUUCUUAGUUUAAAAAAGGAGGUGUUACUGAGGGGCGGUUCCGUUUCACAUCUUUGUAAGUUG